CAAAGAGAAAGUGUUGGAAUUCAAGGAUUUGAUCAAGCAAAGGUGGUGAGCCAUUGGAUAUGGGUAAAGGAUAGUACCCGCGGACUGAAAAUAGGAGUAUUUCUACUCCUAAUACUGCUCAGGGAAUUCCAUAGUUAGCUGACUUUGACAAGGAC